CCCUUAGAUGUUCUGGGCCGCAUGCGCGCUACACUGACGAUGGCAACGAGUUUUUCCUUCGCCGAAAGGUGUGGGUAAUCUUUUGAAACAUCGUCGUGCUGGGGAUAGAUCAUUGCAAUUUUUGAUCUUGAACGAGGAAUUCCUAGUAAGCGCGAGUCAUCAGCUCGCGUUGAUUACGUCCCUGCCCUUUGUACACACCGCCCGUCGCUACUACCGAUUGAAUGGUUUAGUGAGGACUCCUGAUUGGCGCCGCCGCCCCGGCAACGGAGCAGCGGACUGCCGAAAAGUUGUUCAAACUUGAUCAUUUAGAGGAAGUAAAAGUCGUAACA
rnacentral:rRNA from 1 species